rnacentral:rRNA from 1 species
UGCCAGACUCCUACGGGAGGCAGCAGUGGGGGAUAUUGCACAAUGGGGGGAACCCUGAUGCAGCGACGCCGCGUGGGUGAAGGAGUGCUUCGGCAUGUAAAGCCCUAUCGGCAGGGAAGAAGCAAGACGGUACCUGACUAAGAAGCCCCGGCUAACUACGUGCCAGCAGCCGCGGUAAUACGUAGGGGGCAAGCGUUAUCCGGAUUUACUGGGUGUAAAGGGAGCGUAGACGGCGAUGCAAGCCAGAUGUGAAAGCCCGGGGCUCAACCCCGGGACUGCAUUUGGAACUGUAUAGCUAGAGUGUCGGAGAGGCAGGCGGAAUUCCUAGUGUAGCGGUGAAAUGCGUAGAUAUUAGGAGGAACACCAGUGGCGAAGGCGGCCUGCUGGACGAUGACUGACGUUGAGGCUCGGAAGCGUGGGGAGCAAACAGGAUUAGAUACCCCUGUAGG